UACAGAGGGUGCAAGCGUUAAUCGGAAUUACUGGGCGUAAAGCGUGCGCAGACGGUUGCGUAAGUCAGAUGUGAAAGCCCGGGGCUCAACUCCGGAAUUGCCUUUAAGACUGCAUCGCUAGAAUUGUGGAGAGGUAAGUGGAAUUCCGAGUGUAGAGGUGAAAUUCGUAGAUAUUCGGAAGGAACACCAGUGGCGGAAGGCGACUUACUGGACACAUAUUGACGCUGAGGUGCGAAAGCGUGGGGAGCAAACAGG
rnacentral:rRNA from 1 species